rnacentral:rRNA from 1 species
UACGUAGGGUGCAAGCGUUAAUCGGAAUUACUGGGCGUAAAGCGUGCGCGGCGGUUAUGUAAGACAGAUGUGAAAUCCCCGGGCUCAACCUGGGAACUGCAUCUGUGACUGUAUAGCUAGAGUACGGUAGAGGGGGAUGGAAUUCCGCGUGUAGCAGUGAAAUGCGUAGAUAUGCGGAGGAACACCGAUGGCGAAGGCAAUCCCCUGGACCUGUACUGACGCUCAUGCACGAAAGCGUGGGGAGCAAACAGG